UGGGGAAUUUUGGACAAUGGGGGAAACCCUGAUCCAGCCAUCCCGCGUGCGCGAUGAAGGCCUUCGGGUUGUAAAGCACUUUUGGCAGGAAAGAAACGUCGCGGGUUAAUACCCCGCGAAACUGACGGUACCUGCAGAAUAAGCACCGGCUAACUACGUGCCAGCAGCCGCGGUAAUACGUAGGGUGCAAGCGUUAAUCGGAAUUACUGGGCGUAAAGCGUGCGCAGGCGGUUCGGAAAGAAAGAUGUGAAAUCCCAGAGCUUAACUUUGGAACUGCAUUUUUAACUACCGGGCUAGAGUGUGUCAGAGGGAGGUGGAAUUCCGCGUGUAGCAGUGAAAUGCGUAGAUAUGCGGAGGAA
rnacentral:rRNA from 1 species